rnacentral:rRNA from 1 species
GGCGGACGGGUGAGUAACGCGUAGGAAUCUACCUAGUAGUGGGGGACAACUCGGGGAAACUCGAGCUAAUACCGCAUACGCCCUACGGGGGAAAGCGGGGGACCUUCGGGCCUCGUGCUAUUAGAUGAGCCUGCGUUGGAUUAGCUAGUUGGUGGGGUAAAGGCCUACCAAGGCGACGAUCCAUAGCUGGUCUGAGAGGAUGACCAGCCACACCGGGACUGAGACACGGCCCGGACUCCUACGGGAGGCAGCAGUGGGGAAUAUUGCGCAAUGGGCGAAAGCCUGACGCAGCCAUGCCGCGUGUGUGAAGAAGGCCUUCGGGUUGUAAAGCACUUUCAAUUGGGAGGAAAGGUUCACGGUUAAUAACCGUGAACUGUGACGUUACCUUUAGAAGAAGCACCGGCUAACUCCGUGCCAGCAGCCGCGGUAAUACGGAGGGUGCAAGCGUUAAUCGGAAUUACUGGGCGUAAAGCGCGC